rnacentral:rRNA from 1 species
AGAGUUUGAUCCUGGCUCAGGACAAGCGCUGGCGGCGUGGAUUAGGCAUGCAAGUCAUUUUAAUAAAAUCUUCGGAUUUUAUUAGAGUGGCGAAAGGGUGAGUAACACGUAGGUAAUCUACCUUCAAGAUUGGGAUAACACUUCGAAAGAGGUGCUAAUACCGGAUACGUUCACGUUUUCGCAUGAAAGUGUGAAGAAAGAUGGUGUUUUCGGACAUUGUUACUUGAAGAUGAGCCUGCGGCCUAUUAGCUAGUUGGUAGGGUAAUGGCCUACCAAGGCGGCGAUGGGUAGCUGGCCUGAGAGGGUGGUCAGCCACAUUGGGACUGAGACACUGCCCAAACUCCUACGGGAGGCUGCAGUCGAGGAUAUUUGGCAAUGGGGGAAACCCUGACCAUGCGACGCCGCGUGAGGGAUGAAGGCCUUCGGGUUGUAAACCUCUGUGUUACGGGAAGAGACGUGGGUUAGUGAGAGCUAUCUUACCUGACGGUACCGUAAUAGAAAGCCCCAGCAAACUGCGUGCCAGCAGCUGCGGUAAUACGUAGGGGGCGAGCGUUGUCCGGAAUCAUUGGGCGUAAAGGGUGUGUAGGCGGCCGUGUAAGUCUUAUGUGAAAUUGCUGGGCUCAACCGAGCAAUUGCAUUUGACACUACAUGGCUUGAGUAUAGGAGAGGGAAGUGGAAUGGGUAGUGUAACGGCGAAAUGUGUAGAUAUUAUCCAGAACACCGGUGGCGAAGGCGGCUUCCUGGCCUGAUACUGACGCUGAGGCACGAAAGUUAGGGUAGCGAACGGGAUUAGAUACCCUGGUAGUCC